GUUUCGGUAGUGUAAUGGAUAAGCACAGCAGACCGGUUAUCUGCAAGUGCGGGUUCAAAUAACGCCUGAAGUU
rnacentral:tRNA from 1 species